GAGGGUAUAGCUCAGUGGUAGAGCACAUGUUUAGCAUGCAUGAGGUCCUGGGUUCAAUCCCCAGUACCUCCA
rnacentral:tRNA from 1 species